rnacentral:rRNA from 1 species
GGCGAACGGGUGAGGAACACGUGAAGAAUCUGCCCUCCACUUUGGGAUAACACCGGGAAACCGGUGCUAAUACCGAAUAUUGAAACAUAAGUGGCAUCACUGAGUUUUGAAAGAAUUUCGGUGGAGGAUGACUUCGCGGCCUAUCAGCUAGUUGGUGAGGUAAUGGCUCACCAAGGCAACGACGGGUAGCCGGCCUGAGAGGGCGACCGGCCACACUGGGACUGAGACACGGCCCAGACUCCUACGGGAGGCAGCAGUGGGGAAUAUUGGGCAAUGGAGGAAACUCUGACCCAGCGACGCCGCGUGCGGGAUGAAGGCCUUCGGGUUGUAAACCGCUUUCAGUAGGGAAGAAGCGAAAGUGACGGUACCUACAAAAGAAGCACCGGCUAACUAUGUGCCAGCAGCCGCGGUAAUACAUAGGGUGCAAGCGUUGUCCGGAAUUAUUGGGCGUAAAGAGCUCGUAGGUCGUUUGUUACGUCGGAUGUGAAAACCUGAGGCUCAACCUCAGGCCUGCAUUCGAUACGGGCAAACUAGAGUUUGGUAGGGGAGACUGGAAUUCCUGGUGUAGCGGUGGAAUGCGCAGAUAUCAGGAGGAACACCAAUGGCGAAGGCAGGUCUCUGGGCCAAUACUGACACUGAGGAGCGAAAGUCUGGGGAGCGAACAGGAUUAGAUACCCUGGUAGUCCAGACCGU